GCGUAACGCGUGGGAAUCUGCCCCUGGGUUCGGAAUAACAGCGAGAAAUUGCUGCUAAUACCGGAUGAUGACGUAAGUCCAAAGAUUUAUCGCCCAAGGAUGAGCCCGCGUAGGAUUAGCUUGUUGGUGAGGUAAGAGCUCACCAAGGCGACGAUCCUUAGCUGGUCUGAGAGGAUGAUCAGCCACACUGGGACUGAGACACGGCCCAGACUCCUACGGGAGGCAGCAGUGGGGAAUAUUGGACAAUGGGCGAAAGCCUGAUCCAGCAAUGCCGCGUGAGUGAUGAAGGCCUUAGGGUUGUAA
rnacentral:rRNA from 1 species